GUAACCCUACGGGAGGCAGCAGUGAGGAAUAUUGGUCAAUGGGAGGAAUCCUGAACCAGCCAUGCCGCGUGCAGGACGACGGCUCUACGAGUUGUAAACUGCUUUUGUACCGGGGUAAAAUGCCUUACGAGUAGGGUUUUGAAAGUACGGUACGAAUAAGGAUCGGCUAACUCCGUGCCAGCAGCCGCGGUAAUACGGAGGAUCCGAGCGUUAUCCGGAUUCAUUGGGUUUAAAGGGAGCGUAGGCCGGCUUUUAAGUCAGCUGUGAAAGUCCGCGGCUCAACCGUGGAAUUGCAGUUGAAACUG
rnacentral:rRNA from 1 species